rnacentral:rRNA from 1 species
AGUGAACGCUGGCGGUAUGCCUAACACAUGCAAGUCGAACGGCAGCACAGUAAGAUCUUUCUCUUACGGUUGGCUAGUGGCGGACGGGUGAGGAAUACAUCGGAAUCUAUUUUUUCGUGGGUGAUAACGUAGGGAAACUUACGCUAAUACCGCAUACGACCUACGGGUGAAAGCAGGGGAUCUUCGGACCUUGCGCGAUUGAAUGAGCCGAUGUCGGUUUAGUUAGUUGGCGGGGUAAAGGCCCACCAAGGCGACGAUCCGUAGCUGGUCUGAGAGGAUGAUCAGCCACACUGGAACUGAGACACGGUCCAGACUCCUACGGGAGGCGGCAGUGGGGAAUAUUGGACAAUGGGCGCAAGCCUGACCAAGCAAUCCCGCGUGGGUGAGGAAGGCCUUCGGGUUGUAAAGCCCUUUUGUUGGGAAAGAAAAGCAGCAGGUUAAUACCCCGAUGUUCUGACGGUACCCAAACAAUAAGCACCGGCUAACUUCGUG